rnacentral:rRNA from 1 species
GACGAACGCUGGCGGCGUGCUUAACACAUGCAAGUCGAGCGGUAAGGCCCUUUCGGGGGUACGACGAGCGGCGAACGGGUGAGUAACACGUGGGUGACCUGCCCUCAGCUCUGGGAUAAGCCUGGGAAACCGGGUCUAAUACCGGAUAUGACUCCAUGACGCAUGUUGUGGGGUGGAAAGCCUUGUGCGGCUGAGGAUGGGCCCGCGGCCUAUCAGCUUGUCGGUGGGGUGAUGGCCUACCAAGGCGACGACGGGUAGCCGGCCUGAGAGGGCGACCGGCCACACUGGGACUGAGACACGGCCCAGACUCCUACGGGAGGCAGCAGUGGGGAAUCUUGCGCAAUGGGCGAAAGCCUGACGCAGCGACGCCGCGUGAGGGAUGACGGCCUGGUGUAAC